AGGACGAACGCUGGCGGCGUGCUUAACACAUGCAAGUCGAGCGGAAAGGCCCUUCGGGGUACUCGAGCGGCGAACGGGUGAGUAACACGUGAGCAACCUGCCCCUGGCUCUGGGAUAGCCUCCGGAAACGGGGAUUAAUACCGGACAUUCACUUCCUUCCGCAUGGUUGGUGGUGGAAAGUUUUUUCGGCCGGGGAGGGGCUCGCGGCCUAUCAGCUUGUUGGCGGGGUAAUGGCCUACCUAGGCUCCGACGGGUAGCUGGUCUGAGAGGACGAUCAGCCACACUGGGACUGAGACACGGCCCAGACUCCUACGGGAGGCAGCAGUGGGAAUCUUGCGCAAUGGGCGAAAGCCUGACGCAGCAACGCCGCGUGAGGGACGAAGGCCUUCUGGGUUGUAAACCUCUUUCAGCAGGGACGAUGAUGACGGUACCUGCAGAAGAGCCCGGCACUACGUGCCAGCAGCCGC
rnacentral:rRNA from 1 species